UGUUUUUAAACAAAGCCUGUGGUAACUUGUUAUAGUAUUAACAGAAAACUAAUACACACUCCUCAUUCAGUGUGGGCCCUACAACCCACACCAGGCCACCUGUCAAGGGAACGCUUACCUUGAUCUGUCCCACUUAAUAGCUUUAGGCCUGAUUUGUUCAGAAAGAGAAAUGACGGAAAUAGACGGAGAAAGGGAAGGGGAAGUUCUGACAUGUUUCUGAACACCUUGAAAGGGAUGAGAUUUCUGAGCCCAAGGGCUCAGAAGGGCUUUCAAGAUAUCUCUAGGAAUCCUCAGUCUCUUGGGAACACCAGUAGUUAUUUUCUGCCCUCAGAGUGCUAAGAACAUGCAUGGUCCACAAAACUUCCAAAAAGGAAAGCUGUACUUCCUUUGGAAGCAAUAGCCACAUUAACGCAGCCUUUAUUAUUUAAACAACGAAUAUCCCUGGCUCUGUGGUAGUGACCAUUUCCCACUGUAAUUACCGUUGAACGCCAGCUCUGGGGGUGUGAUGUGGCGAACGCAUAGUGAGGUCCACACUCCUUGGGACCGCAGCCUGAGUUCCUGUCCAAAGGCUUCCCUGUAGCUGGGUCCACCCACAGGCUGCUGUUGAGCGGUAGGUGUGUGUGGAGACUGCAGAAACAGGAAGUGUUUGUGAAAGAGCACGCUUUAUUGGGAAGCAGACUGCUGCACAGUGACCAACAGGCCACCCAAUGGGCACUUACACAUCGUACUCCAAAAGACACAGGAUGUUUUGCUAAUAAAAAUCAGUGGGAACAGGGAUUCCUCUGGGCAACUCCCCCAACCUCAUCCCUUUCAGGGAUUGAGAAAUCUCCCAACCAUUUUCCUGAUGACAGCCAUGGUUCAUUAGAGAUACAGCCCCUCAGGGGUGCCUUCCUGUUUCUUAUAAAGAACAUUUUCUUUAGAUUUUUUGAAGUCUUCAUUUGUUACUUUCAUUCUACGUUCUCUUAAGGCCAUCAGACCAGCUUCUGUACAGAUUGCCUGUAAGAAAGAAGAGUGUGUUCAGAAAGUGACAUACUCAUUUUUAUUCUAACAAGGAAUUCCAAAAAACCUAUUCUGAGGCCAGGCGCGGUGGCUCACACCUGUAAUCCCAGCACUCUGGGAGGCCGAGGCAGGUGGAUCGCCUAAGGUCAGGAGUUCAAGACCAGCCUGGCCAACACGGUGAAACCCCAUCUCUACUAAAAAUACAAAAAGUUAGCCAGGGACGGUGGCAGGCACCUGUAAUCCUAGCUACUCGGGAGGCUGAGGCAGGAGAAUUGCUUGAACCCGGGAGGCAGAGGUUACAGUGAGCCGAGAUCGCGCCACUGCACUCUAGCCUGAGCAACGAGCGAAACUCUACCUCAAAAAAAAAAAAAAAAAAAUCUGUUCUGAAAUAAAGCAUGAGACACCUAGACUAAACACAAAUUGCUUAUUUGGGAAAGAUUUGAUUUUUAAAAAAAAUGUUUUAAGCAUCCUAUUUUCUGAAAGGAUGUGAAGUGGCUUAAACUGGGAGUUACUGUAACUAAGACUGACCCAAGGGUCAGGGCUGUGGGUUCUAGUUUUGGCUCAGGUUCUAACAAGCUAUGUGGCUUGUACAACACCACUUUUGUUAAAGAGAAUAAUAUUCCUAGGAAAUAAACAAAAUUAUGCCCUGAAACUUAGAGGCAAUUGACAGUAUAUGUCUAUUUCAUUUACUUAUAGUCAUAAAAGAACAUGUAUUCUGGUUAGAUACUGUAAGUGGCAGUAUCUAUACUAUGGAAUAAUACUACAGAGUAUAGCAUUUAUUCCAAUAUAUUUAAUUUCUCAGUAAUUACUGGCCCAAAGUAAAAGAAAACAAUAACCCAUGUUACAUGGGUUACUGUUAUUGUUUUAGGCCUGAUCUGUUUAGAAAGGAAAGAGAAAUGAAGGAAAUAGAUAGAGAAGGACAGCAAACAAACAUAUUAUGUGGGUUACUGUUAUUGUUUUCUUUUUCUUUUGGCCAGUAAUUACUGUGGCAAAAACAAGAUGUGGCAAAAAACACAAUCCUGGCACAGAAGUUUGUUUGGUGAUGGCCAUCAGGUUAUUUACUUCAAAUGGUUCGGGUGAAAAGAAAGUUUUGUGUAUAGAAAGAGAAAAAGCAAACAGGUAAAAUGUUAACUCUUGGCAAAUCACUGUGCUAUUGUUGCAACUUUUUUGAAGGCUUGAAAAUUGUCAAAGUAAGUUCUUAUCUUAAAAUUUUAAGAUCUUUCAAUUUUUAAAAAAGAAGAUAGAUUUUACUUGCCAACAGAGACAUCUAGUUCUCUAGGACUAACUGCCAAUGAUCCGUGGGCUCAGGGCAGGUGCUGGCCUGGAAAGGCACUGCUUGUGCUGUCCCUACCUAACCAUGGCAUUUAUGCCCAACGAAAACCCAGCUCUUUCCAGGAAAAGCAGGUAGAACCCAUAUUCAACGCUGCCAG
rnacentral:lncRNA from 1 species